rnacentral:misc_RNA from 1 species
CCUAGCUAAUGGAACAAGAAAGACAUGGAUCUAUAUUCAAUACGCAAUCAAAGGAUUUCCCCCAACGAAGAAUUCCCCCUGCUUUGUUUUCGCUCCGCUCGUGCGUGGCACUCCUUGCUCGCGGAGCGGCAUACCGAAAAAAGAAAGGUUUUGGAAAAAAAAAGUCGAUUCCCUUUUGUGACCAAGAGCCCAUCUCGAAUACGAUGCGGUUAGGGUACUCGUGACUCUGCUGGUGGCUGCCACUGCCUCACACUUAAAUGCCGCCAGCUCUGUCUUCCUACUUUUUAGGCAUCCGCGACCUGGUUGGUCCGUCCAAGCUUAUACUCUAGCACCAUAUCAAUCAAACUUGGCAAGUUUGUCUUGCUUGCCAUCGUCCCUGUUUUGGCGUGAGUUUUUUCUGGGUCAGGAAGUCACUCGUCGCCACAUUAUCCGUCUUGACCACGAAUCGUGACCCGC